ACCGCGAUGGCUCAGCUGGUAGAGAAUCUGCCCGGUAAGCGGAGGGUCGCCGUUUCGAUUCCGGCUCGCGGCG
rnacentral:tRNA from 1 species